CCUGCAUCCCAUGGAGAGAAAACACUCGGAGAAGCUGGAGAGAGAGCGGAGAUGCACGUUACAACGCAGCCAUUUAUCAGCACAGGAUAAUGCUUCUUCCUCCUCUGACAUGAACGUGGGGUCUGUAAUUGUGCUUUUAAUUUUCAUGUCAAGGAUGCAAUAGUGGAGGGCUUCAUUACCGAGACAGACAGUUAUUUUAUCUUUGCGUGCAGCAGAAAUAAAACAUGCAAAAAUAACUCUCACUCUUAAAGAAACACACAGUAAUUCUUUAGCAUUAGGUUUGUAUGAAAUAUUCAGUCCAGUGUGAGAAGGUUUGGAGACAAAGUCCUGAAAAUGUUUCUGUAAAUCUGUUCUUACUGUCUGAUCAUUUACAUACAGCAUUUUUCUUUUUUGGUUAAGAUCUUUAAAUUUUACUUUAAAGUUUCAGGUUAACCCAAAAAUAUCAGUGAAUAACUUUUUAGUUGAAAAUCCAAGAUUUUUAUUGUUAACCACGUUGAUUAUGUAUGACUGAGGAAUUCUCUUAUUAAGGGUCUCCACGUAAAGGGCAUAAAAAAUAAACUAAUAUUUUUAUUAAAGACCCACUCCAAUAAGAAUCAUGUUUGUCUUGUUGUUUACGUGUUCAUAUGGCAUUUUGUCAGAUGCUGCAAGACAUAUCAUGAGAAAACUUAAGUGCAAAACUGCAUUUUGAGUAUUUCUGCAUUCAAUUUGUUGUGAACCUCAGGCAGACCCAGAUGGCAGGUUCAGAUACAGUAAGAUUUUCUAUGUCACAACUCCAGGCUCCGCCCCAAACUGCAGGCCAGUGUGUGCGUUAGCGGAUUGCAAUGCUCAUAAGAAAACUAAUUAUGAUAUUAGCUUUUAUCAUGUCUCCAAAGACAUUAGUGUCUAGGGUGACCAUAUUCUGACUUCCCAAAAAGAGGACAUGACUACGCUGGGGUGGAGUCACAGAGUCUUACAAAGUUAAUUUUGAGAGUUUUUUGGGUCAGAUCGAGUGUCUUUUUGCUUCCAACUCAGUAAGUCCGCGUGACACAAAGUCAAAACUCCCUUGACAAAGCCAGACAAGCCCAGACAAGCCGGACAGCCCCCCAAAAAGAGGACAUGUCCGGGUAAAAGAGAACAUAUGGUCACCCUACUAGCAUCCGAAAGCUGAAUAGCUCCUAUAUUACCUGCUACUUCUGCUGCACUGACAACGUUAGGCUACAAGCUAGCAUGAAGAGGAAGGUCUAGAGCAGCACUGUCUCCACCCACAACUUAGACGCAAAUUGUGAAUGAGCUACUGGAGCUCUGCAGAAGAGAGGCUCUUGAAGAUGACACAGGUAAUGUGAUUUUGGCUGAAAAACUUAAUAAUCCCAAAUUUAAAGGCUAAUGAUAUCACUUUAAGUGGUUAAAAAAAAAAAAAAAGACCUAGCAUUUAAAAAAAUAAACACACACACACACACACACAUACACACAUGCGCGCACAAGCAUGUGUCCUUGCAAAAGUUUCACCUGUGGGCUUAAGAUCUAAAGCUGCAUGCAUCAAUUCAUACACACUAUUUGCACCUGAGAGCACAGUGUCGUAGAUUUGCACCUUUGAGCUCUCUGUCAUAAGUACACACCUGUAGGUAGAAUCUCACAGAUUUGCACCUGAACAUUGUGAUGCUCUGUUUCAUAGAUUUGCACCCGUGUACUAUAGUACAUAGAUUUUCCCUUACAGGCACUGUUUGGUGGAUUCACGCCUCUUGGCUCUGUUUAAGAGAUUUUUACCUUUAGGCUCAGUUUCAUAGAUUUGCACCUGUGGGAAAAGUUACAUAAAUUUACAAUCCACAAAAUCCAAGUCUAUCAGCCCACAUGUAAAACAGUGAUUUUCUGCACUGUCAAGCUUUUCCAUCGCUUACAUUUUAAAAAUUGUCAGUCAUCCUUUUCAGUCUUUCAUCUUAGUUAUGAAGAGACUUAGAGGCCGUUAUUCUAUUACAAUACAGAGGUAAGCAUCUUUAAUGAUGAAGAAACUCAGUUAAAUGUUCGAUCAAUUAAGCCCAAAUAUAGUUUUUGCACUCCUAAACUUUGUUGCCCAUCAUUCUGAGCUUCUGAUUACAACGUACUAUAUACUAGUCUGAUGCCUUCUUGGUGAAUCAGCCCACCAGGUCAUGAGAUCACCAGUCCAGAUCUGGAGGUGGUCCCUCUCCUCCUCACUCUGAAUAUGAAAUUGAAGAGCAUCCAGUGUUAUCAGUCUACUUCUACAUUGCGCUGCUGUUAGCGUCCAUUCCUCUCACCAUCAGGAGCACCUUUACUGUGUCCCUCUCAGGCUGCAGAGGACUCAGGCCGCUCCAUCCCUCAGUUUCAUCACUCUGGAUGACAUGUUGCGCGUCCUUUUCAGUCUAAACCACAGAGCAGAGAGGCACAAAAAACUCUCUUCAUCUCCAAGGCAACUAGCAGUUUGAGUGUGUGUGUGUGUGUGUGUUUGUACAGUAAUCUGUGUGUGUGUGUGUGUGUGUGUGUGUGUGUGUGAGCGUGUGUGUGUGUGUGUGUAUGGGGUGUAAAAUCCACAGAAAAACAAGGCUUUGGCAAAUCUCCGCUCCUCUGAGUUUUGGUAGAGAUGCUCCCUGAAGCUUUAUCCUGUUUUUUUUAAUCAGGCUCAUUGACUCACUGAUAAUUUGAACAAAUGAUCCAAAUUGAGACUUAACCUGUUUAAAAGGAGGAGGGGAAGCCUUUUUGCAGACAAAUUAGCCCUGAAUCAGAUGAGUAGCGUCAUCCUGUGUUGCUGUUUUUGAGCUGGGAGGAGGCUGCAGCUGGGAUUUCUGAGACAUGCUCCACCUGUUUUUUUUGCAGAUUUUUUUGACAUGCAAACUCAAAUCCAGGAUUCAAAGACUUUUAUUCAACUAACUUUUGUUCUGCACUGUCCUCUGACUUUUUUAAGAAGAGUGAGUCUGCAUGGAUUAAAACUUUGUGACUUUCAGUGACUUUUCGAUGCCGCCCAGUUUCUCUUGUCUGUUUUAAUUUUUCCUCUUCUUUAUUCAGAAUUCAGCGUCUCCCUCUGUCUCUUUCCUUCUGCCAUCAUGUCUGCCCUGAGAAUACUGAGAAAGACCUGAACUGGGAGGUCAGGGCCUUCUGCCAGAACACUUUGCUGUUAAGCAUUUUUAAACUCCUCCCGGGUGAUUAUACGCACCUCAACCUCAGUUUUAUACUCCAAGAGCAGCCGUUGAUGGGACUUUUUCUCUCUAUUAGCAUCCAGAGCACCAUCAAAAUGAUUGAAGGUAAAAUAGUUAUGGAUACCACUGUAAUAGAGAGAGAGAACUUUUAAUUCCUGGUGUGAAAAAGUCCAUCUACCUUUUGCGGGACAAUUAAAGGGAUAUUCUGACUUAAAUUGAUUUAGAGUCAGACACAGUAACACCGAGUUAGACAACCCUUCGAGAGGUGAAUGUUGCCGACUUAGUUAUACCAACUUUAGUAACGGCCGCACGAUAGCAAUACACAGUGGUCUGAGAAGCCAUAAACAAACCUCAACAAAAACGCCACUCUAUAGCCACAAAUAAUGCUCAGAACAGCACCUAACUUCAUCAACAGUACAUAUAGGGUCCCAGUCAUAGUACUAGCCACCAAACAUCUUUUUAGCUUUGCCCAAUUUCUUUAGCAAAGAGACUAAACACAACUCACCCACUCACUUCCAGCAGCUGCUUGUUUGUACCGAAGCUUGAGACCUUAGAUGAGUCCAUUACAGACUGCAGUGGGGUGAUGCAGCUCAAGGAAGAACAUUUAUGAUCAUUUCUUCAUAGAAAUGCAAUCAGACCGAGACGCUAAAGCAGAAGAACUACCGUGUCUGCAGUGCAAAAUGAUUGAUAUUGUGAUUAUUACUUCAUGAAAUAAUAAAGUAAUGAUCAUAAAUGUUCUUUCUUGAGCUGCGUCACCCUGCUGUAGACUGUAAUGGACUGGCCUGAGGUCUCACUACAAACAAGUGGCUGCUGGAAGAGAGCAGGUGAGUUGUGUUUAGUCUCUUUGCUGAAGAAAUCAGGCAAAGCUAAAAAGAUGUUUGGUGGCUAGUGCUGUGGCUGGGACCCUAUAUGUACUGUUGAUGAAGUUAGGUGCUGUUCUGAGCAUUAUUUGUGGCUAUAGAGUGGCAUUUUGGUUGAGGUUUGUUUAUGGCUUCUCAAACCGCUGUGUAUUGCUAUCCUGUUGUCGUUACAAAAGUUGGUAUAACUAGAAAAGCAAGUGGUCGGCAGCAUUCAUCUCUUGACGGGGUGUCCAACUCAGUGUUAUGGUGUGUUUGACCCUAAAUUAAUUUUACGCUGGAAUAUCCCUUUAACAUUCAUUUCAGGUGCAGGUCAGACCCAUGAGUUUGUUUUAAUGGACAGAUGCUCUAGUGUCCAAAAGUCAAAUCCUUCAACUGAUUCAGACCAACAGGUCACCACAUUGGGACCCGGUCAGCCUCAAAUCACUGGAAGCUGCUGAAAAGUUCAUCCAAACACAGUUUACUCAGACAGAGGUAAAAAUAUUUGCACUUCUGAAUUGAGUUAUAAAACCAAACCUGAUGGCAUUUUGUUUUCUGCGUACCCAAAAGACCAAAUAUCCCUGAGCUAAUAGACAUCAGCGUUCAACAGCAGGGGCAUCAUUUAUUUCGCCUCCAGUCUGACAAACAUUUCCUUACACCUGCAUUCAAAAAAGCCGUUCUGAAAAUGUGAUAAAGCCCGAGCAGCCCAAAUAUAUUCGAGAUUUCUUUAAAGGUCAAACAUAAAAAAGCUGUUUCGCUGCUUUGACUGAGCUUUUUAUGGUUGUAAAAUCACCUCAUGAGGCUGAGGACAUCGAGUAUCAUAAUUAGGGGUAAGUAGAGUAAAAAAAAAUGUUAAGAUUUCCGUUUUCCAAUAAAACUCUCUGUGCACCUCUGAGAAUUACCUCCUGUCUACUGAAUUGUCUCCUGAGAGCGGUGAAGUCCUCCAGGAGAGGCUCAGACGUGACAGUCUUCAGUCAUUAGGAUCAUCUGAAGCUCGGCUCUCACUGUCUGCAGGUUCCUGUCUGCUGACUGUACACAGGUCCUCUCUCUGCAAAUCAGUGGGUAUCGGUGUCAGUCAACCCCCGCUGGGAUCACGGCUGCACGCCAAUGAAGACUGUGGCAGGAUCAAUACAAGUCAACAGCGCCCAGUGGUCCAGAUUGAUGCACUUCAGGUAAACAAGGUGCUGUCAAGGACGUCAGUGAAUCAAGAGAAUGAGGAGGACUUUCUCUGAACUCGCUCAGCGGCAGGAUUCAGAGUCAUCCAUUUGAUUACUCUCUCUCUGUAAUAAGAAAAGCAACAGAUUACACAUGGUCCUGAUGCAACUUCUGUACCGCAGGAGAUCUGAAC